rnacentral:tRNA from 1 species
GUUGAUNUANCUUAUAAUAAAGCAAAGCACUGAAAAUGCUU